rnacentral:rRNA from 1 species
CCUACGGGUGGCAGCAGUGAGGAAUAUUGGUCAAUGGGCGCAAGCCUGAACCAGCCAAGCCGCGUGAAGGAAGACGGCCCUAUGGGUUGUAAACUUCUUUUGUCCGGGAGCAAACGCAGCCACGCGUGUCGUUCUGAAAGUAUCCUAAGAAUAAGGAUCGGCUUACUCCGUGCCAGCAGCCGGGGUAAUACGGAGGAUUGAAGCGUUAUCCGGGUUUAUUGGGUUUAAAGGGUGGGUAGGCGGGAGGAUAAGUUAGAGGGUAAAUCGCGAGGCUCAAACUCGGAAUUGCCGUUGAUACUGGUCUGCUUGAGAGUGCGUGAGGUAGGCGGAAUGCAUGGUGUAGCGGUGAAAUGCUUAGAUAUCACACAGAACUCCGAUUGCGAAGGCAGCAUACC